rnacentral:misc_RNA from 1 species
GAAAGAAAAUCGAGCUACUUGGAUAUUAUCAGUGAGAUCAAUUAACGUAUGUGGACUUCCUAUAGCUUAUGCAGAAUCCUUUCAACUAUAGCUUGAGUGCCUCAUACAUGCUUUAGAAGGAAAAGUUGAAGUGCUUUAGAAAUAAACUGAAUUGUAUAAAACUGUAUACUCAAAUUUCAUGCCUGAAAUUAAAGACUGAAGAGCCUAAUAAUCUCAGGGAAGAUCCCUAUUUUACUUUGUUGUGCUGUUUUAUUGUAGGAUGUAGCUGAUACAAUGGCCU